UACGAAGGGGGCUAGCGUUGCUCGGAAUUACUGGGCGUAAAGCGCACGUAGGCGGUCUUUUAAGUCGGGGGUGAAGUCCUGGAGCUCAACUCCAGAACUGCCCUUCGAUACUGGAAGACUUGAGUCCGGGAGAGGUGAGUGGAACUGCGAGUGUAGAGGUGAAAUUCGUAGAUAUUCGCAAGAACACCAGUGGCGAAGGCGGCUCACUGGCCCGGUACUGACGCUGAGGUGCGAAAGCGUGGGGAGCAAACAGGGAUUAA
rnacentral:rRNA from 1 species